rnacentral:piRNA from 1 species
UACCAAUGUUUGAAGGAAUUUGUUUGGAUU